UAUCUUGGUAACAGGACAUAAAUAGCUGGGCCUUUUAAGUAUUCACAGCACAUAAUGCAACAUUGAUGUCUUUUAUUGUAUCAUACAGACUAUGCGAGGGAAAUUGUUUUGCAAAUCUUCUUUCUCUACUCAUUCAAUCAUGCAUUUCCCUACAAUCAAUCUUCCUCUGUGUUUGACUGGUUUACCACACCCAUUUGAAUGAAACGUUCCUGAAAUACUAACCUUGCACUGAAAUGUGCAUCACUGAAAAUCAAUCAUUGCCCUCAUCUGAAGGAUGAAUUCACACAGCAAGCUGCAAUGAAUGUUUUCAUAGUUAGAAUAAAGUACAAGCAAGUUGUUUUGUUCCCACAGUCUAUGUUCCCACAGCCCAUAUCAGCUCAUUUUGGUAAUCAUCUUAAUAAGACUUAUCUCAGUUUGCCUAUUUAUUUUUAAAGCAUUGACUGUAAGAACAACAUUUCAUGCCUACUCCCUUUCAGGAUUGCACUUUUAGAAUUCUGCAUGCAAACAGUAAAAAAGAAGAUAAAACUUAACUUUGGCCUUUAGCUUUCUGGAGUUUGCAUGGUUUGAGCUGUACCACACAGAGAGCAUGCAAAUACCAAAAUACACAAUACAGUGAGGGGAGAAAGACGCCACACCAGAGGUCUCAUAGCUUUCACAGAAGAACUAACCUAAAAAACUGAAACAGCAGAUUACUCACACCCUGCAACCACAUCAGACUCCACAGCUCUCACUUCCUGUGUGGAACGCAUUUUUGUCUGUUAGUGGGCCCUUACCAAGUUUAAGCUGAGGGGGUGACUGGUCUAUUAGUAGCUGGUGGUGCAGAAGAACAAAUGGUUAUUUCCUAAAGCUGGAGGGCUUAUACACCUUCACUAUUUGUGCAGUAGCCCUAAAAGCAGAGCCAAGAGAUAAAGCAGAAACCAAAGAGCUGCUGGACCCUACACAGGUGGGAUGGUGAAUUUCUUAAGAUAUUGCUGCAUCAACUGCUCAGUGAUAUGUUGCAUCUUCUGGAUUUUCUGGCCAGCAGAGGCGAAAACAAUCACACAGACGGUUGGCAGCACAGUGACCCUGAACUGCAGCAACAACUCAAUCAGUAGACCUAGUUUGGUAAUUUGGAAAAUGAACGAAAAACUUCUUUUCAGUCUUGGAAGCAAAGGCAACAAAACUCCAUGCACUGAAAGUGUCUGUCAUAACAUAAAGAUGUCUAAAGACAGUCAGCUGUUUGCGCUCAUUAUAGAGGGCGCCCAGAAACAGCAUGAAGGAAACUACACUUGUGAGACAACUACAUCAGACGGUCCUUUUGAAGAGAAUUGGGAGCUUAUAAUUAAAGAAGAUGCUGAAAGCAAAAAACUGAAGAUCAUUGUUAUAGCAGCGGUUCCAUCUGUGUGUAUCGUGAUAUUAGUAUCUGUUUUGGUCAUUCUGACUGUUUGGAAACAGAGAAAAAAAAACAGACCUCCCACAGAAAUAAGGCAGCAAAAGCAACCAGAAGAUAUUUAUGAAAAUCACUUGGAAAUUCAGCGCCGCCAGGCUUCCCGUCACCAACCCUGAUGUUACUGUUUAAACUGCUAUCACAAUAAAUGCACACAACGUUACUUACACACAUGGUGGUCUCCUAAAUCUGUCAACAUCUUAGGAGAGUGAAAGGUAAAAAAAAAAACAACCUUAAAUGUCCUCUUUAUCAUGGUGAUGAUGAUCACUGCUACUGACAGAGGAAAGGGAGGUGAGUGGUGCUGGUUAGAACCAACUAUCAAGUUAUGGAAGAAUACUUUUGUCGAAAGGGCUUGUUUGUAAAGAAACGUAGAGGCUUAAUAUUCAGCUAAGUAAACCCUUUCUGCCAAAUUGUCUUUGCAGUAGUAGUCAAGAAACCUUCAUUUUGAACAGUUUUUGAGUUUAUUAAGCGGUUUUAGUAAAGUAUGAAAUGCUCAGUGUGCAAGGUGCAAGGAGGUGAGCAGCCCUGAAAGGAAGCAAGGUUCUGCUGUAGAAGCUGUGCUGCUUAAGGGUGGUUCUUCCCAUGGAAUUUGGAGGUCAAGUCCAAAUGUAUAAAACAAGCAGUAGCCUAAAAUAUUAGCACUUUGACCACAGCAUUUAUGGAAAGCCAUAAGACCCAUAAUUCAAUAAAUUAGAAAGUCCCAAGAUGGAUAUUUUACAAAUAUACUUUCCAUUAAGCCUCCAUUUCUGCAUUAAAUAGGUUGCUUUUGUAUUGGUCUGAUGCCCUAUUCUAGUCUUAAAUACAGUUUUUUGUAUUAGCUGGAGUUGAAAAAAACAAUUAUUAUUAGAAAUAAAGGCUUCAAAACAUCAUCAGUCUGUGUACAUCUAAAUAACGUGUUUCCCUUAGUGAAUAGUUACCUGAAUUCAAUUAACUUUUAGUGAGCCGAUGGGGCACCUUGACACCUUGAUCUCUGCUACCUUCAGCUCCGCCUUUUGUUUCUUCCUCAGUCCUCAGUACCUCACUGUCUCUAAACCACACAACAUUGCUGGUCUCACCACCGUCUUGUACAUCUUUCCGUUCAUUCUUCCUGAUGCUAUUACACUAAACUCCUGACCCUUUUCUUCACCCGUUCCAACCUGCACGGCAACAUUUCUUUACCUCUUUUCUACACUCACUGUUGAUCUUUACUGUACACCUUAAAUAAUUAAAAUCAUCCAUCUUCUUUAUCUCUAGUCCAUGUAACCUCACAGCUCCACUUGGUCCCUCUUGUUGAACCACAUAUUAUGUCUUGCUAGGGCUAACCUUUAUUUCUCUCCUUUCCAGGGCAAACGUCCAACUUUCUAGAUUUUCCUCCACCUGUUCCAGAUCACAAAAUCAUCUGCAGACCAUAGAGAGUCCUGUCUGACUUCGUCUAUCAACCUGUUCAUCACCACAGCAAACAAGGAGCUCAGAGCAGAUCCUUGAUGCUGUUUUACUUUCACCUUGAAAUCCUCUGUUACACCUAUAGCAUACCUCACCACUGUCCUACAGCUCUCAUACAUAUCCUUCACCUCUCUAACAUAUGUCUCUGCUACCCCAGCUCCUUUCUGGGCACCCUGUCUGUCAUAUGCCUUUUCUAGAUCUACAAAAAUACAAUGCAGCAUCUUCUGAUAAAAUUGUCAGAUUUGGACAGAGAUUGUUCUUCCAUCAUGAAGACGACCCUAAAUACAAAUCUAGAAUUGCAAUUGAACAGUUUGGAUUAAAGCAUGUUUAUUUGUUAGACUGUCCAGAUAAAAAUCUAGACCAAGGUUUAAUAUGCAAAUUGUGGCAAUACCUCAACAACAUACCUCAACAUGUUCAUUUUAUGCUCACCAUCCAAUCAGACUGAGCUUGAGUCUGAAUCAAUGAAUCAUAGAUGAAACAUUCAGUCUUUCAAAGUACAAAACAGAUAGAGACAUGUCCCAGUAGGUGGUUUUAAUAAGGAUUGACUCAGUUGUGCUGAGUGUAAAUGCACAUCUCUAUUUUCAGAUUUUUAUUUGCACUACUUUGCGUUGGUCUGUCAUAUGAAGUCCCAACAUUCAAGAAUAACCUAAACCGCGACAUAAAUGGAAAAGGUUGAACAAAUGUGAAUGCCUUUGCAAUUCACCGUUGGGUGUAAGAAACCUUUAUAAAAACCUCAAGCCUUUAAAUAGUGAAAGGCCCCCCGUUUGUGAAUCAUGGAGUUCUUGUUUAAUGUACGCUGACAAGUCACAGCUUCCUGUGACUUGUUCAAACUGGACUGGCAAGAACUUAAAACCCAGACAGGAAACCAGGGGUGUUCAGACAACCUGAUCCCCCACACAUGCAUUCCUGCUCAAGAAAGAAAGGCGUGGCGUAAAGAAACAGUUGAGUGAAUUCAAUUAAACUCUCUUAUAUCAGAAUGUCAACAAAGAAUCUGUGAAACGGUGUGAAGGAAACUUUUGCGCAAAAAACAAAACAAAAGCUUUUUAAACUGUAUGCUAAUGUGCAACUCAGCAUUUUUAAAGAUUUCUUUACCGGUAUGAACCAGAGAAAACCCAUUCUGUUUAGUGAAGGACAGGAAACUAUUUUUUCUGUUUGUAAAUGAAUGGAAAAGAAUACAUUGACAUAAAACAGCUUACCUCUGGCAAACAAUAGAAAUAAACACAACAGCUGCUACUACUUUCACUACUUUGUCCUUUGUACUUUACUUGAAUGCACAAUAACCUGCUAGCUACACUUUCACAAUCAGCAGAGGAAAACUCUCCCUCGUUACCAUGACAGCAACCUUGUGAUGGCUUCCUCCCACACGACCACUCAGUCACUCAGCAGUCAUGAGGCCUUAGUCUGUUUACCCUCACACUUGGUUAGCUAUAGCUCUAUAUCCAUCCUCAAGGUGGGUGGGUGUUAAACACAGUGACACUAAGCAAUUUUUUUUUUUAGAUCUACUUUUAAUAGAGAAGGAGUCAUGACAAACAUCUACAAUGGAAACCAAUUAAUCAAGAAAAAACUAAACCAAUCACAGGCACUUAAAAAAAAGGCAUGAACAAAAUGAAAUUUGUUAAGCUACUGGUAAAUACAUAACGACAAAACUGUUUCUUUAUUCUGCCAGCUAAUGCCUAGGAAACAAAUAUUUGUAUAAUCAAAACAGGAUUUUACUCGACGAAACAGAAACAGGUAACUAGAACAGAAAGGACAAAAGUAAAAAUACAUUUGUAUAUUUUGAGAGGUAUACACGGAAUAAACAAAAAAAA